CCUACGGGAGGCUGCAGUGGGGAAUCUUGCACAAUGGGCGAAAGCCUGAUGCAGCGACGCCGCGUGCGGGACGAAGGCCUUCGGGUCGUAAACCGCUUUCAGCAGGGACGAGGCCGCGAGGUGACGGUACCUGCAGAAGAAGCCCCGGCUAACUACGUGCCAGCAGCCGCGGUAAUACGUAGGGGGCGAGCGUUAUCCGGAUUCAUUGGGCGUAAAGCGCGCGUAGGCGGCCUGUUAGGUCGGGAGUCAAAUCCGGGGGCUCAACCCCCGCCCGCUCCCGAUACCGGCGGGCUUGAGUCUGGUAGGGGAAGGCGGAAUUCCAAGUGUAGCGGUGGAAUGCGCAGAUAUUUGGAAGAACACCGGUGGCGAAGGCGGCCUUCUGGGCCACGACUGACGCUGAGGCGCGAAAGCUAGGGGAGCGAACAGGCUUAGAUACCCCGGUAGUC
rnacentral:rRNA from 1 species